AAAUAACUCAAACCCUAUUCUCUUUCAUGUAUUCUCUUUCUCGCCUCUCUCCAUUCAUCCCUCCCCAAGAUGAUGAUCUGUAGCAUGUAUAUUGAUAAUUCGAGCUCAGAUUCAUUUGGGCAUAGUUUUGAUUGUAUGCCGAACACUCUUUGCCGCUAUAAGGGCCCCAAUUUUUAAGGUACUGAUUACCCUGCGUUGGCUGUGGUGCUUAAGACUGAAGAAGACAUUGAUUCGGCGGCGCUGGGGGUGGAGGAGCGAAUGUACUGUUGCGAUGGAUGGGAUGGCCUGUACGAAAGCCAUUGCAGUUAUCCGUCUACAACUCCGCUAGAAAGGGUACAACUUUUACUCUAUCGAGAGAGAAAUUAAAACCCCAAAACAGAAACUGAAUUUACAAUUGGAAAAUUUAACGAAUUUGGAUAAUUGAGAUGUAGAAUUCGGGUCGGAAAAUUCUAAUUUUGAAACCCUAGAGAAGAGAAUUGCUUAACUCCAAAACCCAGGAUCAAAAUUAAAACCUGAACUUAAUUGGAGCUUGCCUAUACAGAAUUGAAUGUGUUCAUUUAUUUAAAUUUGGCAGUCCGCUCUUCUACAUUAUUCAUUACAAUUCCACAUUUUCAUUUUAUCGUGUGGAAUUUAUGUGGAAUGUGUGUGUUUUGUUUAUACAAAAAUAUCUUCAGAAUGUGUGGAACGUGGAAUGUGAAAUGUGUGUGUACAAUUCCUUUUCACCGUCAUAAUAAUUUGAAGUAAUUGCAAGGGCCUUGUUCUCAACUGGUUAUCAAAUUGGAGUUGCACAUCUUCAAAUCAAGAUUUAUUUGUGUGAUCAGUGAUGUAACAAAAUUCGGGCACUCUAUUUUUGUGGGACCCCAAAACUUGAGCUUCAUUUCAUACUAUUUGCUUCAUAUUUUCUGUUUUUUUAAAUUGAUCUCCAAAUCUGUACACGGAUAAUGGAGGCGCCAACGACAUAAAAAUAUUUACAAUUGCCAAAAUUUGUAAAUUAACAUAAAUUUUGCUCCUAGCAUUGUCUAUCACCUUUUCAGAUUUCAGCUUCCAUGGUUAUUGGUUUUCAUGUUUGCUCUUAAGUUAAUUAAAUGGUCACAGCUUUGUGUUUUCAAUUUCUAAGUUUCAAUUAAUCGUCUUCUUUGUAGGAGCUGAGUCAAGAAGAAAGGUAAUGACUUGAUCACUGCUAUGCUUACCGAGGAUCUUCGUUCUGUAUGAAUCAUAAGUUGAAAUAAAACAAAUUUGUUCAAGUCAAAUAACAUAACAAAAGGUGCAUGAAGGGCGUGUGCUUGGAAUUUGAAUUAGAAACGAUUUAAUUCUAACUUGAAUUAAUUUCAAGGCUCUUGUUAUAUGCAUGGAAUAUAUCAUAUGAAUUUAAUCCAACAAACUUGUAUUUUUAUACAUUUUCCAAUUUUUUUAUCUUUAUUUUUUGUAUGUCUAAACAUUAUAUCUCCCGUAAAAUUCUGCUCCAUUUAUAAGUUCAAUAUUUUUUGGUUGGUAGUAAAUAAUUUGUUUUAAACUAGUUUCUUUAGUUUAUUCGUCUUCAACAAAACUUUUUUUAAAAAAAAUUCCAUUUUUCUUUAAUGGGAGGAGGGGCUUUAAAAAACAAGUUAAGUUCCUUGGUUUAACGUUAAUUUGACUUGGAUUGAAAGUGGAAGUUCAAAAAUUGAAUCAGUAAUGCAAAUUAACGUUAAUUUGAAUUGGCAUCAUAGAAUGCGUCAAUGUUUUGCUGUUUUUCAUCUCAUUUGUUAUCCUUGACAUUAUUUGAUUUGUUAUUGGAGCAGUGUGUCAUACAUUUUAAUAAUGUCACAUGCUGGUUGUUUAUUUUUGUUUUGUUCAUUUUGAAAAGGUCACAUAUUACUUGUUAUUAUUAUUUUUUUUGGGAUUGUUUUGCUGCAAAUUUCAUGUUAAACACUUGAGUUAGAUAGACUGCUUUUGCAUUCUACCCUAGGGACCUUGUCACUGACUCACUGCAUUGUAGUUUUAUUCUCAGCUGAAUUUUUUUAUUCAUUAUAAUGUAGAAGUGUGGAAUGCUAACCCCUAAUUGUUUUAACCUUUGUGGAAAUUCUACAUCACAAAACCUAAACGUAACCUUUAUUCAUUCAAUUCUCAAUGGUAAGAACAAGGUCAAAUUUUGUAACAAUGUAGGAACAACGUUCAAGUUUUAUUCUUGGUUUAUUCAAAAGAAGUGUAGUUGAUGGUUUUGCAUCCAUGCCUGUGAUUAUAAUUCUGGUGAAAGUUUUAGAGGAAAGAGAGUUGUAGUUGUGGGAUGUGGGAAUUCAGGCAUGGAAGUCUCACUUGAUCUUUGCAACCGUGAUGUGGUUUAUGGGUUUUCUUUUUUAGGUUCUUGUAUUGUCAAUGGUUCUUACUUAUUUUUCUUUACUUUUCUUCUCGAUUAUAAAUGAUACAAAUGUCUAAAAUGUGGUAUCUAUCUUUUUCUCCUUUUUUAUAGGCUAGUACCGAUGUUCAAAGCACAAUUCAUGUUGAAGAUUGCUGAAAAGAAAAUUAAGAAGGCCGAUAGGGUGGUUUCACACACUACUAAGUUAGUCGUUUUUUUUUUUUUUUGGGAAAAUGUAUUGGAUUUUUAGGUAUUUUAGAAUUUUUGAUCUAGAUUUUGUACAAAUAUUGUUAUAUUUUAGAGUUAAAUUAAUAAUGAUUAUUGGAG
rnacentral:lncRNA from 1 species